UAAAGACAUUUGGGGUGCUUUAGGCUGAGAUGAUACCCAUUGAACCUGAUACAGUUAAUACUGGCGAAGGGAAAUGUGAAAAGGUUUUU
rfam:Streptococcus sp. DORA_10 Q617_SPSC00353, whole genome shotgun sequence.